GAUGAACGCUGGCGGCGUGCUUAACACAUGCAAGUCGAACGGUGAACACGGAGCUUGCUCUGUGGGAUCAGUGGCGAACGGGUGAGUAACACGUGAGCAACCUGCCCCUGACUCUGGGAUAAGCGCUGGAAACGGCGUCUAAUACUGGAUAUGUGACGUGACCGCAUGGUCUGCGUUUGGAAAGAUUUUUCGGUUGGGGAUGGGCUCGCGGCCUAUCAGCUUGUUGGUGAGGUAAUGGCUCACCAAGGCGUCGACGGGUAGCCGGCCUGAGAGGGUGACCGGCCACACUGGGACUGAGACACGGCCCAGACUCCUACGGGAGGCAGCAGUGGGGAAUAUUGCGCAAUGGGCGGAAGCCUGAUGCAGCAACGCCGCGUGAGGGAUGACGGCCUUCGGGUUGUAAACCUCUUUUAGCAGGGAAGAAGCGAAAGUGACGGUACCUGCAGAAAAAGCGCCGGCUAACUACGUGCCAGCAGCCGCGGUAAUACGUAGGGCGCAAGCGUUAUCCGGAAUUAUUGGGCGUAAAGAGCUCGUAGGCGGUUUGUCGCGUCUGCUGUGAAAUCCCGAGGCUCAACCUCGGGCCUGCAGUGGGUACGGGCAGACUAGAGUGCGGUAGGGGAGAUUGGAAUUCCUGGUGUAGCGGUGGAAUGCGCAGAUAUCAGGAGGAACACCGAUGGCGAAGGCAGAUCUCUGGGCCGUAACUGACGCUGAGGAGCGAAAGGGUGGGGAGCAAACAGGCUUAGAUACCCUGGUAGUCCACCCCGUAAACGUUGGGAACUAGUUGUGGGGUCCAUUCCACGGAUUCCGUGACGCAGCUAACGCAUUAAGUUCCCCGCCUGGGGAGUACGGCCGCAAGGCUAAAACUCAAAGGAAUUGACGGGGACCCGCACAAGCGGCGGAGCAUGCGGAUUAAUUCGAUGCAACGCGAAGAACCUUACCAAGGCUUGACAUAUACGAGAACGGGCCAGAAAUGGUCAACUCUUUGGACACUCGUAAACAGGUGGUGUAUG
rnacentral:rRNA from 1 species